ensembl:lncRNA
CGUCCCGCGUUUCCCGGCGGAAAGUCUCUCAGGCCCGCUCGGCGAAUGUAAAAGCGAGGAGCGACGGAGGGCGAGAACCGGGCAGGGCCGGCGGGAUGCGUUUAACUUGCCGCAAAUGCUCGCAGGGCUCCCUUUGCCGCUUAAAGGCCGCGGGGUCACUCUGCGGGCGUGUCGUUCGAACGUGUCCCUCAAGUUUCUGGGCUCUCCCUAGCAGGGGGCGAGGACAUUCCAGUCUCGCCCUGUAUGUGCGUGACAGAGAAGCCUCUAUUUCAGGAAUGUUCACGGGAUUUCCUUUCUCCUGGUGGUAAAAUACACGUAACGUAACACUUGGCGUUUUAACCAUUUGGACGUGUAUGGUGGCAUUCAGGACAUUCACGCUGUUGUGCAAUCACCACUACCACCCAUCCCCACAGCUUUUUCGUCUCCGCAGACUGAACCCACAGGACUCAAACACCCACUCUCCAUUUCUCUCCGCCCAGCCCCCCGCCCCCGCAAUCUCCAUCCCACUUUCUGUCUCUAUGAGUUUGACUCCUCCACAUACCGCCCAUUGGCGGAAUCAUGUGUUUGUCAUUUUGUGAGCAGCUUCUUCACUUAGCAGAAUGUCUUCGAGGUUCGUCCACCUUGAACCGCGGAUGAGAACUAUUCCGUUGUGUGAUACAGCCUUCUGUUCAUCCAUCCCUGUGUCAGCGGACUUGUGCCAUCCAAGGUUUGCUUCCACUUCUUGACCGUUGUGAAUCAUGCUGCUAUGAACAGGGACGUACAAGUAUCUAUUUGAAACCCUGCCUUCGAUUCUUUUGACUCUAUGCCCAGAAAUAGAACUGCUGGAUCACAUGGUAAUUCUAGCUUUCAUUUUUUGAGGAACCGCCAUACGAUUCUCCUCCUUUGCUGUUUUGCUGCAUCUGAACAUUGUGGGCAGAAAACUCUCUGGUUUAUUUAUUCCAGAGAGAGUGCACAGGGAGAGGGAAAGGAGGGAGAGUCUGAAAUAGACUCUACAGGAAGCGUGGAGCCCGGAGCCCACCCCGGGGCUGGAUCCCAGGACCCCAGAUCACUACCUGAGCUGAAACCAAGAGUUGGAAGCCCAAACAACUGCACCAUCCAGGUGCCCCAAGCAUUUCAUUUUAAAAAGAAGAGACAAUUUUGAAUGUCUUAACAUACACUCAAACCAACCUGAACUUUUUUUUUAAGAUUUUAUGUAUUUAUUUGAGAGAGAGAGAGAGAGAGAGCAAGUGGGGUGGGGGUGGUAGGGACGGCUGAGGGAGAGAGAAGCAGACUCCCUGCUGAGCAGGGAGCCCAAUUUGGGGGGGGGGGGGCUGGAAGGCAGCAGGUCUCCAUCCCAGGACCCUGAGAUCACGACCUGAGCCAAAUGUUAAGGCAGACGCUUAACCAACUGAGCCCCCCAGGCUUUUUCUUUUACCUGAAACAGUCAAUUUCAGAAUGAUCUGCUGACUGAAUCUGAGUCUUUGGAGGAAGUUUCCUCACUGAGCACAGUCAAGUUUAGGGCCACUGCCCUAGAGCGUUGCAAAGAUUCUAAAUCAGUAAGGGCAGGAUAGUACUUUUUCACUCAUGGACAAAGAUUCACUAUACCUUUGUGAUGGAACAGGCAUUGUGCUCUAUGUUUGGGAUCCCGCCUGAAUAAGACAGGCAACCAGCCUCCUGCCCUCCUGGAGCUCACGUUGUGGAGUGUGGUAACAAACAAUACAUAAAUAAAUGAUAAACCAAAUAAUGACA